AACGGGUGGCGCAAGUGUUACUCCUCUUUACUGGGCGUAAAGGGUGCGUAGGUGGUCUGAGAAGGUAAUUGUGAAAUAGUUACGUGCGAAAACUGGUAACAACAUAAUUUCAACCAUCAGACUGGAGUAUAGAAAACGAAGAUGGAAACUGUGGUGAAGGGUUAAAAUCCGUUUGUACAGCACAGGGAACGCCAAAGGCGAAGGCAAUCUUCGGGCAAGUACUGACACUGAGGCACGAAAGCAUAGGGAUCAAACAGG
rnacentral:rRNA from 2 species